GGGUGAUUAGCUCAGCUGGGAGAGCACCUCCCUUACAAGGAGGGGGUCGGCGGUUCGAUCCGUCGUCAUCACCCACCA
rnacentral:tRNA from 1 species